CCUUUUUUUUCUUUUGGCUUUCUCCCCCGGAUUCUCUUCUCUUCACCUUUUCCGAGUGCUGCUGUUCGUUCACGCAUCGACCUUUUUUAUCGGAUCCUCAUAUCUCUCUCUCUCUCUCUCUUUGUAUCAAGCAAUUUGUUUCGGGAUACUAAAUUUGCACAUGAACAUGUGGGGAAGUCCUCCCCCCUCGAUCUACAAGGUUUAGACAACAAAAAAUAACCUCUUUCUUCGAACCGUCUUCUCUUUCCGUGUCACUACAGAUGGAGAACAUGUUGAAUCUGGUGGCAAGUUGAUGGCGUCCGGGAAUUCCAUUCAGAGAUACAUGGAAACCGAGCCCACACUUUUGAUUCCUCCAAGUUGUGGCGUAGGACCACAACUCGAACAGCCCCAGCAUCCACAGGAAAUAGUAGGUAUUUGCAGGACCGACCGCUCGGCGAUACAGAAUCCUUGAAAAGCUGCUCUGCUCAUGUUUGCUGGGGAGUGUACUUUCGACCGACCUGCCACACCUUUUGGGAAAAAGGCAGAGGAGUUGGUGUUGUUGUUGGCAACAAUCUCCUCGCGCGCCUGCAAAUAAUGCUUCUCGAUGAUUUAUUUGCGUCGCACUCCACCGCAUCCGUCUCGUUCGUAGCAAUCUCUUCGACCAUGUCUUGGUAGCAAUCUCUUCCAAUAUCUAUUUCCCUUUUUUUGCUGGGCGCUUAGAAUCCAUGUCGAUUAAAGGCGAUGCUGCUGCUGCUGUUGCUUUGGUCAUGUAAGAUACAAAGCCAAAGCUGCACUAGAAUCGUGUGUUGUUAUUCUAUUCGAAAGAAGGUGAUGAACGCGUGGCUCAUCAUACAUACCACCAAAUGCAUCGACCUACAAAACGUACUCAUCCGAAACGUCACUAUCGCGCUUGUUCCGAAGAAGAAGAAGAAGAAGAAGAAGAAGAAGAAGAAGAAGAAGAAGAAGAAGAAGAGGACAGGUUUGACCACGACCUCACUUCACGUGCAUUUCAUGUCAAAGGCCUCUCACGCUGACCAAUCGUCUGCUGGAGGGAGAAGAUAAGGAACCAGGCUGAGGUGGUCGAAGCUCCAGGAAAACCAUCCUUCUUCUCUGGAGAUCACUUAAGAUCAAUACAUUAUAUGUUUUGGGGCAGUGGUGAAGUUAAUGUAGUCGUCGGAUGUUCCUUUGCAUGUCGAUGUGUCUACUUUGCAAGUGAAUGACAUGGCAAAGCAUUGACUCGGUGUUGGCUUUUA